AUGCUGUCUCUCCUGCUGAUCCUCUCAGGCCUAGGCCGGCUGACCUCCGCGGGCCAUCAUCCCGAAACAUCGCCUCUACAAAUUACAGUGCCACAGAAGAUUGAGACAAAUACCAGUGAUGGUGAAGUUUCAGAAACACAUGUCACUUAUGCCAUCAAAAUUGACGGGAAAAUGUACACUCUCCAUCUUGAAAAACAGUCAUUUUUAGACCCUCAUUUCCUGGUGUAUGCAUACAACAAAUCAGGAACAUUGUAUCCAGAUUCUUCAUUUAUAAAGGGCCAUUGCCUUUAUCAAGGAUAUGCCGCAGAAGUUCCAAAAUCAGUUGUGACACUUAGCACUUGUUCUGGACUCAGGGGAUUAUUGCUGUUGCAGAAUGUCAGUUAUGGCAUUGAGCCAUUGGAAUCUGCAGCUGCAUAUGAGCAUAUGCUUUAUCAAAUAAAGAAUAAUAAAAUUGAUUUUUCACCUGUACAAGAAAAUUAUCCUACAACCCAACUGGUAGAUCAGUCCUUCAGGAUUCUUGUGAAAUCGGAAGAAAAGUCAGAUGUUGCACUAUUGAAAAGAGUUCUGAAAAUACAAAUUGUUAUGGAUAAAGCCUUGUAUAAUUAUAUGGGCUCUGAAGUGGCAGUUGCAGCUGAGAAAGUUGUCCAUAUCUUUGGUCUAAUCAACACUAUGUUUUCCCAGCUCAACAUAACUAUUAUACUAACUUCUUUGGAGCUCUGGUCAGAUCAAAAUAAGAUUUCACUUAGUGGGGAUGCUAAUGAAGUACUACAAAGAUUUGUGUCAUGGAAAGAAAAAUUUUUGUUUCAAAGGUCCCAUGAUAUGGCAUACUUAUUAAUUUAUAGGGACCAUCUUAAUUAUGUGGGAGCAACAUAUCAUGGAAUGGCAUGCAAUCCAAAGUUUGCUGCAGGAAUUGCUCUGUAUCCACAGAUGAUAACUUUAGAUGCAUUUUCAGUUGUUAUGGUACAGUUGCUUGGAAUUAAUCUGGGAUUAACAUACGAUGAUAUCUACAAUUGUUACUGUCCAGGAACUACAUGCAUAAUGAAUUCUGAAGCAAUACUUUCCCAUGGUGUAAGGUUUUUUAGCAGUUGCAGCAUGGAUGAAUUUAAACAUAUGGUUUCACAGCCUGACUUUGAAUGUCUUCGGAAUCAAACAGUUUCAGAAGUGGUUUACCAAGGAAGAAGUACAGCAGCUUGUGGCAAUGGAAUUUUGGAACCUCCUGAACAAUGUGACUGCGGCCUUGCAGAGGAAUGCAGUCAUAAAAAAUGUUGUAAUCCUAAUGAUUGUACUCUGAUUGGAUAUGCAGAGUGUGGCAAUGGACCAUGCUGUGAUAGAAAAACUUGUCUGAUAGCUGAAAGAGGACGUUUAUGUAGGAAAAUGACAGAUCCAUGUGAUUUUCCAGAAUUUUGCAAUGGAUCAUCUGUAUUUUGUGUACCUGAUGUGAAAUCUGCUGAUUUAGAACCAUGCAAUAAUAAGACUGCCUAUUGCUUUAAUGGAAUAUGCCAAGAUCCGGAUAUACAGUGUGAAAAAUUAUUUGGAAAAUUUGCUAAAGUUUCUACUUAUCUAUGUUCACAAGAAGUGAAUUUUCAAGGAGAUAAUUUUGGAAACUGUGGAAAAACGGGUUGUAAUUUUGGGAGUAUCCUUUGUGGAAAGAUAGUUUGUCACUGGACACAUUCAGAAAUAGUAAAAAUAACAAAUUAUGAUGUUCAAUAUACUUACCUUGGAGGCCAUAUCUGUUUGUCAGCGUUUUUAAGAAAUGAAACAGCUUCAGGUGUGGAUAUUACCCAAAUGAACAAUGGCACUAUGUGUGGAGUAAAUAAGUAUUGUUUUCUUGGAAACUGCCGAGAAGCUAGUGACUACCCAAAUAGACCAAAUUGUCAGUCAGAAAAAAAUUGCAGUGGACAUGGGGUUUGCAAUAAUUUGCUUAAUUGUCACUGUGAUGUUGGAUAUUCUCCUCCAGACUGUGAACCAACACCAUCAUCACCAGGAGGAAGUUAUGAUGAUGGGUUUUGGUAUCCAGAGAGUUAGUAUCUAGAUCAGUCUAAAGGUGAAAACUUACUUAGAAAACGAUAUGCUGCUCCUCAAAAAAAUGGCCUCUUGAUCAGUUUCUACAUUUUUCUACCCGUCCUUAUUUUAACUGCCAUCAUUGUUCUUAAAUGGAAUAAAAUAGGAUUUUGGAACAGAGAGGGAACAGUAAGUGGAGAAUCUGUAUCAGAAGACAGCAGUAGUAACAGCAACCAGUCAUCAAGUUAA